AUGAGAAAGCACGAGUGGAGGGCGACCAAGACUGUUACCUACUCAAUGGAAAAUGUUUUAUUCCCUUUCUCCAAAGAGGACCAAUGCUUUUAUGAACACUCCACAAUGCUUAUUCAAAAUGGGAAUCCACAUGUGAAGAGGGACCAAAAUUGCUACUCAACGGAGAAUCUUUACUCGCUUUAUAUGAGAUUAUGA